rnacentral:tRNA from 1 species
GAUGAUGUAGGGUAUGAAGUUCGGUGGGCAACUUUCUGUGAAAUAUGUAGUUAUGGGGGC